CACCGCCCGUCACGCCAUGGAAGCGGCGAGUGCCCGAAGUCCGUGUCGCAACCCGCAAGGGAGCAAGCGGCCGAAGGCAAGCGUCGUGACUGGGGCG
rnacentral:rRNA from 1 species